rnacentral:rRNA from 1 species
GACGAACGCUGGCGGCGUGCCUAAUACAUGCAAGUAGAACGCACAGUUUAUACCGUAGCUUGCUACACCAUAGACUGUGAGUUGCGAACGGGUGAGUAACGCGUAGGUAACCUGCCUGGUAGCGGGGGAUAACUAUUGGAAACGAUAGCUAAUACCGCAUAAUAUUGAUUAUUGCAUGAUAAUUGAUUGAAAGAUGCUAUUGCAUCACUACCAGAUGGACCUUCGUUGUAUUAGCUAGUAGGUGAGGUAACGGCUCACCUAGGCGACGAUACAUAGCCGACCUGAGAGGGUGAUCGGCCACACUGGGACGGAGACACGGCCCAGACUCCUACGGGAGGCAGCAGUAGGGAAUCUUCGGCAAUGGACGAAAGUCUAACCGAGCAACGCCGCGGGAGUGAAGAAGGGUGUCGGAUCGUAAAGCUCUGUUGUAAGAGAAGAACGGGUGUGAGAGUGGAAAGUUCACACUGUGACGGUAUCUUACCAGAAAGGGACGGCUAACUACGUG